rnacentral:rRNA from 1 species
GACGAACGCUGGCGGCGUGCUUAAUACAUGCAAGUCGAACGAUGUGGCGAACGGGUGAGUAAUACGUUAGUACCCUGCCCUCCUUUUUGGGAUAAUCCUUGGAAACGGGGUCUAAUACCUAAUAAAGGGGGAUGGGCUCGCGAGCUAUCAGCUUGUUGGUGGGGUGAUGGCCUACCAAGGCGGUGGCCGGUAGCCGGCCUGAGUGGGUGACCGGCGGCAGUGGGACUGAAAUACGGGCCAGACUCAUACGGGAGGCAGCAGUGGGGGAUAUUGCACGAUGGUAGAAAGCCUGAAGCAGCGAUGACGCGUGGGGGAUGACGGCUUUCGGAUUGUAAAGCUCUUUCGCUAUCGAACGGGUAGGUGGGGAAGAAGCGCCGGCUAACUACGUGCCAGCAGCCGCGGUAAUUC